GAGAAGAACAAGAUGAAGAACAAGACGACGAUGAAGAAGAACUUGAAGAUGACGAAGAAGACGAUGAUGAAGAUGAUGAUGAUGACUAUGAUGAUCAUAGUGACGCAUCAAACAACGAUGACAAUGAGGAUGAUGAAGAUGAUUGAAUUAAUUAAAUGCUUGUAUUUUGACAUUUCUACGAUUCACAAUUAUAUAAUAUUAAAUCAUUUAUUAAAUACAAAUUGUCUACUUUGCGUUUAAUUGUCUAUUAUUUAUUUAUAUAUUUUAAAUUACAGUAAUGUCAGGACAAGAGCCUUCACGUCCUGACAAAGGCAAGACGGUAAAAAAGGCUAGGCAGACGAAGUACGUUGUUAGAGUUCCUUCGGAGAUACCAUUCUCCAAUGCCAGAGCUCGACCAGAUGUUGGAUCCUCACGUCGACCACCACCCCCUUCUACGGCGCCCACACCUUCUGUCGGACCCACACCUUCUACUAUAGGGCCCACUCCUUCUACUAUAGGGCCCACUCCUUCAGUUGUAGGGCCCACACCUCCUAUUGUAGUGCCUACUCCUUCAGUGGUAGGGCAAACACCAUAUAUUCAUCCCUCUUCUAUCCCCACACCACCUUCUAUACCAUCUCCAGAUGUACAUCAGNCAUCUGCUGAUGCUGCUGAUUCUGCUGAUACUGUUGAUUUGGAUGAUCCUGCUCCUCAUGAUCGACCAUUCAUUGAGCCGUGCGGAAAAGGGUUUCUUCCUUCUAGAGUUGCUUCACAGGCCAUCACUAGGACUAUUAAGCAACAAUUUCUACAGCCCUGGGCAUCAUGGGAAGUAAUCUCUGACGACGACAAAAAACUGUUUUGGGAGAGAUUUAAGGUAAAACCAUGUGUUACUUAAUCAUCUUGCAUCACCAUAUUCAAAUAGGAAUUUCAUUUGCUUUAUUUUAAUAUUAUCUAUUGUAACAGCAAAAGGUACAGUGGGCAGCUGAGCAUGAAACCCAAAUUCACAAAAACUUUAACAUGAAAGCAUCUCACCGAUUAUCACAAAUGUUUAGAGAUGCCCGGAUGGCAGGACAACGCCCUUAUUGGGUGGGGGAGCACAUAUGGAAUUCAUUGUUGGCGCAUUGGAAUACGCCACAAUAUCGCAUUAAAUGUGCUACCGCCUAGAAAAAUAGGGCAUCAGAAAAAGGUGGUGCACUGCAUACUGGAGGAUCCAUCACCACACAUGAACAUGCGAUUCGUAUGGCAGCGGCGCUUGGACGGGCUGUUCAUGUUGAUGAGGUCUUUACACAGACUCAUAUUCGCAAGGGGACUGGUGAAUAUGUUGAUGAGAGGUCUCGCAAGACCAUUGUAAGUAAACUUUUUAACAACAUUCAAUUUUGUACUCUUUUUUCACACUUUCAAA